rnacentral:rRNA from 1 species
UAAUACAGAGGGUGCGAGCGUUAAUCGGAAUUACUGGGCGUAAAGGGUGCGUAGGUGGUUAUUUAAGUUAGGUGUGAAAGUCCAGGGCUUAACCUUGGGAUUGCGCCUAAUACUGGAUAGCUAGAGUACUGUAGAGGAAGGUGGAAUUUCCGGUGUAGCGGUGAAAUGCGUAGAUAUCGGAAGGAACAUCAGUGGCGAAGGCGACUUUCUGGACAGAUACUGACACUGAGGCACGAAAGCGUGGGGAGCAAACAGGAUUAGAUACCCUGGUAGUCCACGCUGUAAACGAUGAGGACUGGCUGUUGGGCGCCGUGAGGCGCUUAGUAGCGAAGCUAACGCGUUAAGUUCUCCGCCUGGGGAGUACGGCCGCAAGGCUA